UAGGUACUCCCUUCGUCCGGAAAUACUUGUCGAAAAAAUGCAUAAGAAUGAACGUAUCUAGAACUAAAAUAUGUCUAGAUACAUUCAUUUUUCGGACAAAUAUUUCCGGACAGAGGAAGUACAUG
rfam:Triticum aestivum genome assembly, contig: Triticum_aestivum_CS42_TGACv1_scaffold_404129_5BL